CUGUCCUCAACUCCACAGGCGCCGUCCCGACACAGUGAACUGUCCCAGUUAUUGUUCAGUCACCGUCUGCGAUAUGAGAGAAGAGGGUCAGUGUGCUGUGAGAGUGCUGGGAGGCUGGGAGCUGAAGGUGGAGCUCUUGCCAGGUCAGCCCUUGGGCCCUGCCUUCAGCCUUGCUGUGUUCCCUCAACAUGAUCUGCUCUGUCCUCUUCAGUGAGCGCUGUGACUAUAAGGUGAGGAAUUCCUGCAACGGAUUGGUUGUCGAAGGAGUUCUUUUCCAUAUCAAGCUCUUGCUGGGCCCAGGUAAAGUCGUGAUUGUCUGGUGGUUGGCUUAUCUCCGGUUGGUGCCCAGGGUCAGCCCAAGUGCAGAGUCCCGCUGUAGGCAACAGGGCCGGACCACCUGGGCAGAGGGAGUGGCAGCUGUGGAAAAGAGGCAGGUUUAUUUAUUUGAUCCAGCCAGGGACCUGCGGAAGGAGCUCAGGCUUCCCUCUGCCUCUUCUGAGGUGGUGCCGCACGUUUCAAUGCACAGGCAGCCCUGGAGAUCCCUGCAGCUGCACAGCACGGAGUUGCUUCAGGCAACACGAAACUGCAGCCAGAGACAACAGGACGGCUCUGGGGAGAGCAGGUUCCCCUUUAAAAGAGUUUCUUCAAUACCACACAGUGCUCUCUGCGCUUUUAAAUCCUGAUGAUGGAAGGAAGAGUGUGGCUCUCCCCUUAGGGCUCUACAAUUUGUGGCCGUCACUCAUUCACUCUCUCCCUGGAAAACACCAGAGUAUUUUGUAAAACAUGCAGAAUAUAAAAAAAUUUCAUUUUGGAAGAGUGAAGCAGCAACAGGGGCCUGCGGAGCCUGAGAGCAGCUGGGACUACAUGGACUGCUUUCUCCAGAGACGGCGGAGGUGCAGUAAGAGCAGACUUUCCUCAUCUUUCCGCAGGGGCUGGCUGCUGUGCAGCCCUCAGAUCACGUGUCCCCCUCCCCCACCCCCACCCCCAGUCUCAGGACAGGAAUAGACGCUCUUCUUAGACUUCCAUGCAGGCAGGGGUGGGUGCACAAACUUGUGGAAUACACGUUCUAGUCCGUGCUCUGCAAGCCUCCGUCUAAAGGUCUUGUGGACUUAGCAGCGUUAUCUACCAUUACUGGGCAUAUAACGGAGCAUUUGCCUUUCUUUCAUUGACUCAUCACUCAGUGUUCACUGUGUGUUCACUGAGCACCUGCUGGGCAAGCAAACUCCCAGUGACACUCAGUGCAUGCCCAAGGAGCUCAGAGUCCAGGGUAAAGACGACACAUAAACUGGCUGAUACUGAGAGUGCCAGGUGCCACCAUCGCUACUUGGGACUCUUCAGGAGCACAGAUCAUCUCCUUCCCUAAUGCCUAGACGGAGCUCGCCAGCCUUCAGAGCUGUCGAAUAUUUGCUUCUCUCUCCACACAGGCGUGUGUGUGCAUGCAUGCAUGAAUGUGUUAUGUGCACAUGUUUAUACACAGGCAGGUCACAUUUUUUUAUCUUUUCUUCAAAACUAUGUCAAAAGUGAAACAUUUUAAACCGUAUUUUUCCAUUAUGCAAAGCAUUAAAAUUUGUACUUUCAUUGAGUACCAAUUAGGCAUCAAAUAAAAAUCACCUAGGCAAAAAAAAUGACAUAAAAGCAAAGUAAUGCAUUCAUAGACACCAUAAAUAUUCAUUGCGAAUCUCCUAUUUACAAAUAAAGUAUUUGCUAAAAAGGAACCUAUUAUGAAAUCACAUAUCUGAUUACUCCAUUAUCCACAGGAAAAAAACAACCCAUGCACGUUCUGAAUUUAACUUCGAGAACCUAGAAGCCACUGCAUUGGGUCUGUUUGGCGCUACACGAGACGAGAUGGUUGCCACUAGGCCGCAGCUCUCGCUGCUGUUCCUGCCGCCGCUGAGGGUGAGGGAGGGUGCUGCCAGGCGGCAGGCGAGGGGAGCUCCGGGGCUGCGCGAGGAGGGGGCUGUGGACUGGCCGGCCCUGGAGCCGGAGACAGACACCCCACUUCUUCAACACAGCUAGUUCCAUGUUUUUGAUCUAUUAGCUUUUCCUGAUUGAAAAGGUAAUUAAUACAGGUCCAUCGUACAAAAAUUGGAAUAGGGGGCCGGCUCUGUGGCCGAGAGGUUAAGUUCUCGCGCUCCGCUGUGGCGGCCCAGGGUUCGGAUCCUGGGCGUGGACAUGGCACCGCUCGUCAGGCCAUACUGAGGCAACAUCCCACAUGCCACAACUAGAAGGACCUGCAAUUAAGAUAUACAACUAUGUAUGGAGGGGUUUGGGGAAGUAAAGCCGAAAAAAAAAAAAAAAAAGAUUGGCAACAGUUGUUAGCUCAGGUGCCAAUCUUUAAAAAAAAAAUUGGAAUAUAUGGGAAAUUGUGAAGACAACAUUUUUUAAAAUGUACUAGUAAUCCUAUCAUUUAAAUAAAAAUUCCUCUACUUUUGGACAGUCUCCUGCCCACCCCCUUUCUGUGUGUAUAUGCACAGCAAUAUUGGAAUUGCACUACAUUGUAACUUUAUUUUUUCACUUAGUAAUAUAUCAAGGGCUUGUUUGCACAUUAUUAAACAUUCUAUCAAAGAAUUAUUUUAAUUUAGCACAAAGUUUUUCAUACUGUAGACACACCAUAAUUUAUUUAACCAAUCCCUUAUUUGGGAGAACUUUAAUUGUUUUAAAUGUUUUGCAAUCACACAUAAUUCAAAAAAGAUCAUUCUACUGGAAAUUUUAAAUUAAGGCUUUAGGAUAAAUUUCUAGAAAUUGAAUUGAUAUGUCAAUGGUACUGAACAGCUUCAAGACUGUGAUCACUACUCCUAAAUUUUGAAGUGUGCUUUGGAAACCCCUGCACAGACUGUCUAUACAAGUAGGCACUAAACGAACUAGCAUAUUUAAUCACGACAAAGAUGAUACAAAAUGCACAAAUAAUUUGUUGAGCAGUGCCUGAUGUAAAAGAGGAAGGAGUUAGUUUCUGAAUCUGAAACCUCGUAUCACACAAAGGUAACGAGCACAUGAGGGCAGGAGUGUGACACACCUGUCACACACGUUACACACUGGCCAUGGGACUCAGGACAAGCAUGUGUGCUCUCUCAACUCAGUCUCCCCCUUGGUACAAAACAACACAGAGUGAAAGCUAAAGACCUGUCUGUAGUGAUUCUGCGCUUCUCUGGAGCCUUUUUAUGAAACUAAAAUAGUUGUUCUCUCUUAAAAACUCAAAGGAAAUCAACACUCUCUGGGCUCAGGCAGUUUUGCUGACCAGAAACUGUGGUUAUAGUACAGCAGUCUUGCAUCUCAGCCCCGGCUACAGAGUCAGACAGCCUCCAUCAGGUGACUUAAUGUCCCUGACUUUAAGUUGUUUCCCCUUAAAAAUAAGAAUAUUAAUACCUACCCCAGAGUGUUAUUGGGAGAACUAAAUGCUAAGGGAUGUGAACAAGUUUCUAGCCGAUCGCCUGGUACAAAAGAGGCACUUAGCACGCACUUUCCCUCUCCACUUCUCGUAAAUGUUCAGAAUAAUGGUGGAUGGUGGCAUCUUGGUUGGCAUCUGAGGCAGAAUUCUCGGUAUUAUCUGUUUGCAAGGAUCUGUGUGAGAUCGAACAGCUGUAAUCCCUGCCCCUAUAGUUCUCAUCCCGAUGUGAGGAAGAGUCAGGCAUUGACAGAAUCCCCUCAUGGAGCGCCCUCAGCACGGCCCGCAACACCAGCGAUUCCCGUUAAACCAACCGGUUCUCACCACAGCCUCCAAUACAGCACAAGUCAUUGAAGGAAACACUUUCCUUCGCUAGUUUGUAGGACUGAGCAAGUUUCUGCAACCCUUUAGCCUGGUUUUGGAUGACAUUUCAGGGACUCUGGAAGGCACAUGAGUGACACCACUUUUUCAAUGCAGGUAAUGUUCACAAGGAAAUUGACAGAUUGAGGCCCAGGACUGAUGCUCCUGCAUGAGCGACAGGACCCAGAUGCCCCACACAGAUGCUGUGGUGCAUGAGGUCCAGAGAUACAUGGAUACUCUCCCCUCCAGUCUGCCUCACGCUGCAAUCCGCGACACCAAUUCAGACAGUUCUUCACUCCUAAGGUCAGUCAUAUUUUCCCCCUAUACAUUUUUAUUACAACAAUUAAGUGUCUGAUUUUUACAUUUUAAUAUAAAUAAUAUUUCUAUUAGC
rnacentral:lncRNA from 1 species